rnacentral:rRNA from 1 species
AUUGAACGCUGGCGGCAUGCUUUACACAUGCAAGUCGAACGGUAACAGGCCGCAAGGUGCUGACGAGUGGCGAACGGGUGAGUAAUGCAUCGGAACGUGCCCAGUCGUGGGGGAUAACACAGCGAAAGCUGUGCUAAUACCGCAUACGAUCUAUGGAUGAAAGCGGGGGACCGUAAGGCCUCGCGCGAUUGGAGCGGCCGAUAUCAGAUUAGUUAGUUGGUGGGGUAAAGGCCUACCAAGGCAACGAUCUGUAGUUGGUCUGAGAGGACGACCAGACACGCUGGGACUGAGACACGGCCCAGACUCCUACGGGAGGCAGCAGUGGGGAAGUUUGGACAAUGGGCGCAAGCCUGAUCCAGCAAUGCCGCGUGCAGGAAGAAGGCCUUCGGGUUGUAAACUGCUUUUGUACGGAACGAAACGGUCUGGGUUAAUACCCUGGGCUAAUGACGGUACCGUAAGAAUAAGCACCGGCUAACUACGUGCCAGCCGCCGCCGUAAUAC